rnacentral:lncRNA from 1 species
GCCAAACCAGGCAGUCCUGAUUACAAACAUCUAUAAAACAAAAUAAGCAAAAUUCUCUUCAGAAUUCUAUCUUACCUUCAGAAACUAAUCUUUCUCUGGGUGUGCCACAUGGCACAAAAGUAAAUCACUGAGGGGCAGGGGGUGCAGAUUGUGUGCUUAGCAUGCUAGCAUGGUCAAGGCCAUGAGUUCAAUUCUCAACACCAAAAAAAAAAAAGUAAUCCAUAAAGGUAGUCAUAAUUUAAACAAAACACAAAAUAGUGCCUUUGGAAUAACUAGCUUCCUCAGUUCAAAGCAUAUAUAAAACCAUAUCUUUUCAAUAUUCAAAGUAAUCUAACUUAUAGGAGACAAUGUCAUGGAAAUAAUCCCCAUUUCCAUGAUUGAAAAACUCACUCCCUACCUGAGGAUCUUUAGUUCAUAUUCAAACACUCUGCCUUAGUUCCUCACACUCACCCACAAGGGUUGGAUGGCUGGGUCAGAGGUAUGUCUAACUUCCCCUGCAUUACAGUGCCCCUGGUUACACUGCCACCCUGGUCAUCAAGUCUAGGUUUGGAUUCAGAUUCCUUUUCUAAGUGACUGCCUGGGGACACUCAGAAUCUUUUCCUGAUGGAGGCCUUCAGCUAGCCCAGCUCAAUACAGCUGAAAUAUCCUAAUAACAUUAUACCUUUGGAGGGAAGGAAUGUGUGCCUGAGGGUUUCAAUCCCAGAGUACCUAGAAACAUAAUAACUCUAUGGUCAUGAAACCAGAGAAUAAGUUGAUCAGGUGACCAAUGUUAACUUCACAAACUAAACAUCUAUAUUUUUUAUUAAAGAAAGAUCUCAAAUCAACAACUUAAUUUUCUACCUUAAGAACUAGGGGAAAAAAAGGGGCUUGGGGAUGUAGCUCAGUCAUAGAGCACUUGCCUAGCAUACAAGAGGCCGUGGAGUUCAAUCUCUAGCACUUCAAAAACAAAAAGAACAACAACAACAACAACACAUACACACACUCUUCCUCUCUUUCACAUACACACAGACACAUACACACACACAUACACACACACAAACACAACUAGAAAAACUGAUAAAUCUUUAGCUAGACUGAGGGAUGAAAACAAAAUUGAAGACUCAAAACUAUAAAAUCAAGACUGAAAAAGAGGAAACCACCCUAAUUUAGGUUGGGGUGGGUGGGAAGGAUGAAAAGAAAACACUAUGAACAACUGCAUGCCAACAGAUUAAGUAACUCAGAUGAAAAGGACAAAUUACUAGUAUGAUGCAAAGUACUCAAAAUGACCCUCCCCUUACAAAAAUAGAAAGUCUGAACAGGACUGUAAUGCCUGAGGAGACUGAAUUAGUAAUUUAAAAAUCUCACACAAAGAAAAGCUCAGGUCCAGAUUACUUCAUUUGGUAAAUUUUGACAAAUGCUUAAAGAAUUAAAGAAUUAUACUAACCCUUCAUAAGCUUUUCUGAAAAAUAGAAGAGUAGGUUAUACUUCUCAAUUCAUUCAAAGAUACCACAAGGAAAACAAAUAAGCAAGCAAACAAACAAAAUCACAAAAACUACAAAAAAUCCCUACUAACCAAUAGCCCUUAUGAAUAUAGAUACAAAAAUUCUCAUCAAAAUAUUAGCAAACUGACUAUAGCAACAUAUAAAAAGGAUCAUACACUAUUACAAAAUGGAAAUUAUUCUUGGAAUGCCAGGUUGGUUUAAGAUCUGAAAACCAAUUAGUGUAAUAUUACAAAUUAAGGGCAAAAUUAAUUUGAUUAAUCCCCAUAGAUGCCAACAAAGCAUUUGGCAAAUAUGAUGUCUUUUCAUGAUGAAAAUGUUAAACAAAAUAAGAAUAGAAAGGAAUUUCUUCAACCUGCUAAAGAGGGUUGAUAAAACCCCACAGUUGUAAUACUUAGUGGUGAAAGACUGAAUGUUUUCCUCUGAGAUUAGGAAUAAGACAAAGAUGUCUGUUCUCACUACUUCUUUUUAACACUGUAACAAAGUUUCUAGCCAAGGCAAUUAGGCAGGACAAAGAAACAAAAGUCAUCCCAGUUGGAAAAGAAGUAAAAAACAAAACAAAA